CUUCUCUUGUUUAUACCUACAAACACCCACAGACAAAUUUUAUGUCUAAAAAUUCUUUGAAACAUCAUCAACUUCCCCUAAAUAAGAACCCUAUCAUCAUCAACGUCCUUACAAUCCUACCCCAUAGUUCACAACCGACUUCCAACCACACGCACACCAUCCCCUUCUUCUCCGACCACGCACAAACACCCCCGCCCCUCACUCACCUCUCUCUUCAGCAGCGGCCGACACCACUCCUGGCGGCGGCGGCGGCGGUUUUCCGGCUCCAACGGCAAUGAACGCCGGCAACGACAAACGAUAAACGCAGUUGCGGCGGUGAUGGUGUUAUUCGACUAAACCCUUGUUUGCUGUUACGUUGAAGAUGGCGAUGGUGGUGAUUACCAGAUUCGAAUCUUGGGUUAAGCGGGUCAGUUUUGGUUCGAGUUUCGGUUUGUUCGGUUCACACGGUUCGGUUCCGGUCAGGUUGUAGCUCGGUUUCGCGUCCCUUCGUUCACUGUUUCGGGUAAUCUCUUGUGUUCUCUCGGAAUCCUUUUCCCAAUCCAUUACUCGUGCGCUUAUUUACAAGGAAUCCUUAUACGCAAUUAUGUUGAUGAUGACGAUGCUAUAAAAAGAAGUAGCGUUGAUGCCUAGAUA